rnacentral:rRNA from 1 species
GAUGAACGCUGACAGAAUGCUUAACACAUGCAAGUCAACUGUGGCGGACGGGUGAGUAACGCGUAAAGAACUUGCCUCACGGAUAGGGACACCAUUUGGAAACGAAUGCUAAUACCUGACACUGUGAGAGAGCUUUGCGUCCCAUUAGCUAGUUGGCGAGGUAACGGCUCAGCAAGGCGAUGAUGGGUAGCCGGCCUGGGAGGGAGACAGGCCACAAGGGGACAGGGAAACGACCCUUAGUCCAUCGGGCGGAAGCAGUGAGGAAUAUAGGACAAAGGACCGAAGUCUGAUCCAGCAAUUCGGUGUGCACGAUUAAGUUUUCGGGAUGUAAAGUGCUUUAAGUUGGGAAGCGGUACCUACAGAAGAAGUGACGGCUAAAUACGUGCCAGCAGCCGCGGUAAUAC